AUUGAACGCUGGCGGCAGGCCUAACACAUGCAAGUCGAGCGGAGCGGCGGACGGGUGAGUAAUGCCUAGGAAUCUGCCUGGUCGUGGGGGAUAACGUCCGGAACCGGGCGCUAAUACCGCAUACUAUCAGAUGAGCCUUGGUCGGAUUAGCUAGUCGGUGAGGUAAAGGCCUACCAAGGCGACGAUCCGUAACUGGUCUGAGUGGAUGAUCAGUCACACUGGAACUGAGACACGGUCCAGACUCCGACGGAAGGCAGCAGGGAGGAGUAUUGGACAAUGGGCGAAAGCCUGAGCCAGCCAUGCCGCGUGUGUGAAGAAGGUCUUCGGGUUGUAAAGCACUUUAAGUUGGGAGGCGGUACCAACAGAAUAAGCACCGGCUAACUUCGUGCCAGCAGCCGCGGUAAUUC
rnacentral:rRNA from 1 species